GACGAACGCUGGCGGCGUGCUUAACACAUGCAAGUCGAACGGAAAGGCCUGCUUUCCCUUGUGGAUUGCGGGUACUCGAGUGGCGAACGGGUGAGUAACACGUGAGUGAUCUGCCCCCAACUUGGGUAUAAGCCUGGGAAACUGGGUCUAAUUCCCGAUAGGACUGCAGGGUGGUGCCUGUGGUGGAAAACGAUUUUCUAGUGGUUGGGGAUGAGCUCGCGGCCUAUCAGCUUGUUGGUGGGGUAAUGGCCUACCAAGGCGGCGACGGGUAGCCGGCCUGAGAGGGUGGACGGCCACAUUGGGACUGAGAUACGGCCCAGACUCCUACGGGAGGCAGGAGUGGGGAAUAUUGGACCAUGGGCGGAAGCCUGAUGCAGCGACGCCGCGUGGGGGAUGACGGCCUUCGGGUUGUAAACUCCUUUCGACCGCGAGGAAGCCACCUGGUUGGAAGGGUGGUGACGGUAGUGGUAGAAGAAGCACCGGCUAACUACGUG
rnacentral:rRNA from 1 species